rnacentral:tRNA from 1 species
AUGGAUUUAGUUUAAUUAAAAUAUUAAUUUGUCGUGUUAAAGAUGCAUAUAAUUGCAAUUCAUU